ensembl:lncRNA
CUUUCCUUUCCUUUCCUUUCCUUUCCUUUCCUUUCCUUUUUUCUCCUUUUGCCAUGAAUAUCUGUCAUUGCCUCUGAUCACAGCAGUAUCUGGCCAGUGUUUUCAGUUUCUCUUCCAUUCACAGCCAACAGGAUCAAACAAGGAAAUGUAUGCAUUCCUAUGUUAUUUUGACAAGGAUGUGGCAACUGUGGGAGGGAGAAUGACUGGCAGAGACUCCUAAGAAUUUUCCAAUACUGUCAUCAGCUCUGGACUGAGAGAUUCUUGUGCUGCUGCUUCUGCUUCAAAUAUUUCACAUAGAUCUACUUUUUACCAGAGAACCGUGAGAAGCAAUCAACAACCAUCCUCACAACCAGAAGUGGCUAUUAGACAUGUCAAUACCAUCUAAAAGGAACGAGUAGUGGAUGGUUGGUGGUUCCAUUCUACACUUUGAUCCUUGCUUGUCCAGAAUUUCCUGCUUUGUGAUUAUCAUCAUCACUGUACCCAGAUACACUGGUUUUACAUCAAAGACAUUUGAGUUU